GGGGAGAGACUUAGAAUCCCCGUGAACCGUGUGUAAAUAGCGGUGUCUUUGGCCGGGCGCUGCGGUUUGUGAAUC
ncrna:unclassified sequences L13-Bacteroidia ribosomal protein leader